UUCUACGCUUCGAAGCCGCCUGAAUCAAACUUAGCCAACACCUCGCAUGGCGUAUUCACGAUGUGGAGGGAUUGACAAUAUACAAUCAAAGUUAGCAAUAUACAGCAAGUUGUCAGCCAGAUGAAAAGAACAAUGCAGUUCAAAAGUCAAAAUGUGGAUAAGCUGCGGUACAAGGUCCUACUUUUGCAGAUUUUCAUAUUUUGCAUGAAUGAAUUUGAAGUUUAUAUCGUGGAGGGCAGAGAAUUUUCCUGCUUCUGAAGGAUAAAUGUAAAACAUCUUGUUCGAAGGAUUGAAAUUCAUCACUUAGAAUAAAAGGAGAAAACACAGAAACAAGACCAAAAUAAAUUCAAAGACAAAAGUCAGAUCAGUUAUUAUUUUCAUCACUCAGUCAAUGAAUUGCAGUUCUAUUAGAUAUCUAAAGAUAUUAAAACCACAAUAAUGACAAUGUUCUGUGCUGAUGGCCAAAAAGUGGACUAUACAUUAUGAUCACACAAUGCUGGAUGAUAAGAAACUAUUAAUGUUUUGGG